GCCUUCGUGGUGUAGUGGUCGUCUGCAUGCUCGACGCGUAACCGAGAGGUCCGUGGUUCGAUUCCCGGCGAAGGCG
rfam:Stegodyphus mimosarum contig96783, whole genome shotgun sequence.